rnacentral:rRNA from 1 species
UGGGGGAUAUUGCACAAUGGGCGAAAGCCUGAUGCAGCGACGCCGCGUGGGGGAUGAAGGCUUUCGGGUUGUAAACCUCUUUCGCUAUCGAACAAGGCCCGCUUAGGGUGGGUUGAGGGUAGGUGGAGAAGAAGCGCCGGCUAACUACGUGCCAGCAGCCGCGGUAAUACGUAGGGCGCGAGCGUUGUCCGGAAUUAUUGGGCGUAAAGGGCUUGUAGGCGGCUUGUUGCGCCUGCUGUGAAAACGCGGGGCUUAACUUCGCGCGUGCAGUGGGUACGGGCAGGCUUGAGUGUGGUAGGGGUGACUGGAAUUCCAGGUGUAGCGGUGCAAUGCGCAGAUAUCUGGAGGAACACCGAUGGCGAAGGCAGGUCACUGGGCCAUUACUGACGCUGAGGAGCGAAAGCAUGGGUAGCGAACAGG